rnacentral:rRNA from 1 species
UAUCUCUGUAGAGUCUGCAUAUCAAUAAGCGGAGGAAAAGAAACUAACUAGGAUUCCCUCAGUAACGGCGAGUGAAGCGGGAAGAGCUCAAAUUUGAAAUCUUCAAGGUUUUACCUUGACGAAUUGUAGUUUAAAGAAGUGUUUUCUGUUGAGUGUUUUGGUAAAAGUUCUUUGGAAUAGGACAUCAUAGAGGGUGAGAAUCCCGUAUUUGACCAUUAUUUCCAACUUUGUGAUACACUUUCAAAGAGUCGGAUUGUUUGGGAAUGCAGUCCAAAAUGGGUGGUAAAUUUCAUCUAAAGCUAAAUACUGGCGAGAGACCGAUAGCGAACAAGUACCGUGAGGGAAAGGUGAAAAGAACUUUGAAAAGAGAGUUAAACAGUACGUGAAAUUGUCAAAAGGGAAGCGUUUGACACCAGUGUUGUUUUCUCGAAAAUCAAUUAAAAAUGGCUGGAUUUUGUGUUGUAUUGACCUUUAUAAGCUUUCUGCACUUUUUUCAUGUCUUUUUUAAUGCACUUUUCGUUUAACAAGUCAACAUCAGUUUCUUUUGUUGUAAAAAGGUCAUUGGAAGGUGGCUUUCUUUUCGGAGAAAGUGUUUAUAGCCUUUGACUUCCUGCAAUCGGAGAGACUUGAGGUCUGCAGCGUAGAUCCUUCUGGAUUAGAUUCAUUUGUGCUAAGUUAUAGCCUUUUCAUAGACAACUUGUUGACUAUGAUUUAGUCAUGUAGCUUACUCGCUUAUGUUAUUUUACCUACGCUUAGGAUGUUGAUCUCUCACAGUCGAGC